GCAGAACAAGGAACAACUAAUAAUAUAUAGGGGAGGGAUGAAUGCCUGAAACCCACCCCUGGCUACGCCACUGGCUCACUCGUGGGACGCGCUCCACUUUAAUCAACAGGAUCAUCAAGAGAUAAGACCUAAUGAAGAACCCAAGAAUAAUCACAUCACAUCACAUCAAUUGACUUCUCUGCGUUCGGUUCUUACAGAUAGUACAUCCGGGUAUUGGAUAUUGGGAAAGCGUGUAUUUUUUGUCUAUAUAGUAAUCAUUUCUGUACAGCUCACGUACUAGUUGUACUCCACCGCUGAAUUGUAUACUGUGAUAGGGUUCUGCUGUACACGGUCGAAAUACAUAUAGCCUUUUGCCCCAGAGUUCUCCAGUGCAAAGUGAAAAAUAAAAUAAA